rnacentral:lncRNA from 1 species
GGAAACUGCCAGGGGUGUUGAUGCAGAGGUGGUCGCAGGUCCGGUCAAAGGAGCACUCGUCGAUAUCUUGGCAGUUCCUCUCGUUGAUGAGCAGUUUGUAGCCCUUCUUGCAGCUGCACUCGAAGCUGCCCACCGUGUUCCUGCAGAUGUGGUCGCAGCCGCCGUUGUUGAGCCGGCACUCGUCGAUGUCUUUGCAGGUCUUUCUGUCGGGCUGCAGCAUGAAGCCCAUGGGGCAGCUGCAGUGCACGCCGGUGGCCGCGUCGUGACACUUGCUG